rnacentral:rRNA from 1 species
GAUGAACGCUGGCGGCGUGCCUAAUACAUGCAAGUCGAGCGAACAGACGAGGAGCUUGCUCCUCUGACGUUAGCGGCGGACGGGUGAUUAACACGUGGAUAACCUACCUAUAAGACUGGGAUAACUUCGGGAAACCGGAGCUAAUACCGGAUAAUAUAUUGAACCGCAUGGUUCAAUAGUGAAAGACGGUUUUGCUGUCACUUAUAGAUGGAUCCGCGCCGCAUUAGCUAGUUGGUAAGGUAACGGCUUACCAAGGCAACGAUGCGUAGCCGACCUGAGAGGGUGAUCGGCCACACUGGAACUGAGACACGGUCCAGACUCCUACGGGAGGCAGCAGUAGGGAAUCUUCCGCAAUGGGCGAAAGCCUGACGGAGCAACGCCGCGUGAGUGAUGAAGGUCUUCGGUUCGUAAAACUCUGUUAUUAGGGAAGAACAAAUGUGUAAGUAACUAUGCACGUCUUGACGGUACCUAAUCAGAAAGCCACGGCUAACUACGUG